ACAUUGGUGGUUCAGUGGUAGAAUUCUCACCUUCCAUGUUGGAGACCUGAGUUCAAUUCCUGGUCAAGGCA
rnacentral:tRNA from 1 species